CUCAGAUUGAACGCUGGCGGCAGGCCUAACACAUGCAAGUCGAGCGGAUGAAGGGAGCUUGCUCCUGGAUUCAGCGGCGGACGGGUGAGUAAUGCCUAGGAAUCUGCCUGGUAGUGGGGGAUAACGUCCGGAAACGGGCGCUAAUACCGCAUACGUCCUGAGGGAGAAAGUGGGGGAUCUUCGGACCUCACGCUAUCAGAUGAGCCUAGGUCGGAUUAGCUAGUUGGUGGGGUAAAGGCCUACCAAGGCGACGAUCCGUAACUGGUCUGAGAGGAUGAUCAGUCACACUGGAACUGAGACACGGUCCAGACUCCUACGGGAGGCAGCAGUGGGGAAUAUUGGACAAUGGGCGAAAGCCUGAUCCAGCCAUGCCGCGUGUGUGAAGAAGGUCUUCGGAUUGUAAAGCACUUUAAGUUGGGAGGAAGGGCAGUAAGUUAAUACCUUGCUGUUUUGACGUUACCAACAGAAUAAGCACCGGCUAACUUCGUGCCAGCAGCCGCGGUAAUACGAAGGGUGCAAGCGUUAAUCGGAAUUACUGGGCGUAAAGCGCGCGUAGGUGGUUCAGCAAGUUGGAUGUGAAAUCCCCGGGCUCAACCUGGGAACUGCAUCCAAAACUACUGAGCUAGAGUACGGUAGAGGGUGGUGGAAUUUCCUGUGUAGCGGUGAAAUGCGUAGAUAUAGGAAGGAACACCAGUGGCGAAGGCGACCAC
rnacentral:rRNA from 1 species